CAGCAGCCGCGGUAAUACGUAGGUGGCAGGCGUUGUCCGGAAUUAUUGGGCGUAAAGGGCUCGCAAGCGGUUUCUUAAGUCUGAUGUGAAAGCCCCCGGCUCAACCGGGGAGGGUCAUUGGAAACUGGGAAACUUGAGUGCAGAAGAGGAGAGUGGAAUUCCACGUGUAGCGGUGAAAUGCGUAGAGAUGUGGAGGAACACCAGUGGCGAAGGCGACUCUCUGGUCUGUAACUGACGCUGAGGAGCGAAAGCGUGGGGAGCGAACAGGAUUAGAUACCCCUGUAGUCCCUGUCUCUUAUAC
rnacentral:rRNA from 1 species